UCCUACGGGGGGCAGCAGUAAGGAAUAUUGCACAAUGGGCGAAAGCCUGAUGCAGCAACGCCGCGUGGGUGAUGAAGGCCUUCGGGUCGUAAAACCCUUUUCUGGGGGAAGAGUAAGGACGGUACCUCAGGAAUAAGCACCGGCUAACUACGUGCCAGCAGCCGCGGUAACACGUAGGGUGCAAGCGUUAUCCGGAUUUACUGGGCGUAAAGCGCGCGCAGGCGGCAUCGUAAGUUGGACGUGAAAUCUUUCGGCUUAACCGGGAGGCGCCGUUCAAAACUACGAUGCUCGAGGGCAGAAGAGGGGAGUGGAAUUCCCGGUGUAGUGGUAAAAUGCUUAGAUAUCGGGAGGAACACCAGUGGCGAAGGCGACUCCCUGGUCUGCACCUGACGCUGAGGCGCGAAAGCGUGGGGAGCGAACGGGAUUAGAUACCCGGGUAGUC
rnacentral:rRNA from 1 species